CCCACCCCUUUCCAUUCCGAACAGGGAAGUUAAGCCCGUUUGCGCCGAUGGUACUGCUAUACCAAGUGGGAGAGUAGGUCGCCGCCUUCC
rnacentral:rRNA from 1 species